rnacentral:rRNA from 1 species
GAUGAACGCUGGCGGCGUGCCUAAUACAUGCAAGUAGAACGCUGAAGGAAGGAGCUUGCUCUUUCCGGAUGAGUUGCGAACGGGUGAGUAACGCGUAGGUAACCUGCCUGGUAGCGGGGGAUAACUAUUGGAAACGAUAGCUAAUACCGCAUAACAGUAGAUAUUGCAUGAUAUCUGCUUGAAAGGGGCAAUUGCUCCACUACCAGAUGGACCUGCGUUGUAUUAGCUAGUUGGUGAGGUAACGGCUCACCAAGGCGACGAUACAUAGCCGACCUGAGAGGGUGGUCGGCCACACUGGGACUGAGACACGGCCCAGACUCCUACGGGAGGCAGCAGUAGGGAAUCUUCGGCAAUGGACGGAAGUCUGACCGAGCAACGCCGCGUGAGUGAAGAAGGUUUUCGGAUCGUAAAGCUCUGUUGUAAGAGAAGAACGAGUGUGAGAGUGGAAAGUUCACACUGUGACGGUAUCUUACCAGAAAGGGACGGCUAACUACGUG